rnacentral:rRNA from 1 species
UCUCCGCCGGACUCAUGUUGGGGUUCAUCGCGAUCGUCGCGAGUUCCCUCGUCAGCUCCUCGAUCUCUUGGUUGAGCUGCUGGAGCUCUUUCUCGUGUUCUUUCGCGGCGUGGGGG